AGUGAACGCUGGCGGUAGGCCUAACACAUGCAAGUCGAACGGCAGCACAGGAGAGCUUGCUCUCUGGGUGGCGAGUGGCGGACGGGUGGGGAAUACAUCGGAAUCUACUCUGUCGUGGGGGAUAACGUAGGGAAACUUACGCUAAUACCGCAUACGACCUACUGGUGAAAGCAGGGGACCUUCGGGCCUUGCGCGAUUGAAUGAGCCGAUGUCGGAUUAGCUAGUAGGCGGGGUAAAGGCCCACCAAGGCGACGAUCCGUAGCUGGUCUGAGAGGAUGAUCAGCCACACUGGAACUGAGACACGGUCCAGACUCCUACGGGAGGCAGCAGUGGGGAAUAUUGGACAAUGGGCGCAAGCCUGAUCCAGCCAUACCGCGUGGGUGAAGAAGGCCUUCGGGUUGUAAAGCCCUUUUGUUGGGAAAGAAAUCCAGCUGGCUAAUACCCGGUUGGGAUGACGGUACCCAAAGAAUAAGCACCGGCUAACUUCGUGCCAGCCGCCGCCGUAA
rnacentral:rRNA from 1 species